AUCUCAUUUACUUUAUCUCAUUGAAUACUAACCAAGAUUUAUGAGGCAGGGGUUAUGCGCCCCUUUUCAGCUAAAGAGACCAAAAAUUUAGGAAUUUGGAUCACACUCAGCAGCCCCUGGAGUGUAGUAAGUGAUAAAAAUUACAGAAUAAAAGUGCACUCACAGUCUGUGGCCAUUUCUAUAAAGUCAAAACUAAGUGAAGAAAUGAGAUAAUUAAAACAAAAAGCACUUUGCUAUGAUGAGGUUGAGAGUGGAAAUAGAAACAGGUUAUUUUACUUUUUUCUUUUCAUCUUGAAUUAUUUUAGAUGUCUACAUAGAGUGCCUGGAUUCAUCUGCAUUGAAACCCCUUGAGAAUUUUGAUAGGUUGAACCAAAACAGAAUAAUGAAAUGCACCCUUCUAGGCAGGAAGGCAGAAGCAGACAUAAAAGAUGAUUUCUCUGUGUUAUUUGGCCUUUAUGGAAAGGACCAUGAUGAGCUUCUAGAAAAUGCAUUAUUGAUGUGAUGUAAUAAGGCACUCUGCUAGACAGAGUCUCUGUUCUCUCGGAGCUCGCGGUCUUGGAGGAAGAUGAAAUCACACUGAUGAGUGUAUAAUUACAAGCCAAGGUGAGCGCCCUGAAGAAAAGGAGCAUGGUCACAGGAGCUUCUCUGGGGUUUGCUGAUGCUCCCUUCUCUACACCUGACACAGACCAAACAUGGAAUAUGACCCCUUCUUCCUUGAUUCCCACAAAACUCCCUA